rnacentral:rRNA from 1 species
UACGGAGGGAGCUAGCGUUGUUCGGAAUUACUGGGCGUAAAGCGCACGUAGGCGGCUUUGUAAGUUAGAGGUGAAAGCCCGGGGCUCAACUCCGGAACUGCCUUUAAGACUGCAUCGCUUGAAUCCGGGAGAGGUGAGUGGAAUUCCGAGUGUAGAGGUGAAAUUCGUAGAUAUUCGGAAGAACACCAGUGGCGAAGGCGGCUCACUGGACCGGUAUUGACGCUGAGGCGCGAAAGCCAGGGGAGCGAACGGG